rnacentral:rRNA from 1 species
UACGUAGGGGGCAAGCGUUGUCCGGAAUCAUUGGGCGUAAAGAGCGUGUAGGCGGCCCGGUAAGUCCGCUGUGAAAGUCCAGGGCUCAACCCUGGGAUGCCGGUGGAUACUGUCGGGCUCGAGUCCGGAAGAGGAGUGUGGAAUUCCCGGUGUAGCGGUGAAAUGCGCAGAUAUCAGGAGGAACACCGGUGGCGAAGGCGGGUCUCUGGCCGAAACUGACGCUGGAGGAGCGAAAGCGUGGGAGCGAACAGG